rnacentral:miRNA from 1 species
UUUGAGAGGCCAAGGUGGAAGGCUCACUUGAGGCCAGGAAUUUGAGACCAGUCUGGGCAACAUAGUGAGACCUUGUGUCUACAAAAA